GUUGGGCAUAGUGGCGCAUGCCUGCAAUCCCAGUAACUCUGGAGGCUGAGACAGGAGGAUUGCAAGUUCCAGGCCAGCCUGGGCAACUUAGCAAGUCUGUAAGCAACUUAACAAGGCCCCUGUCUCAA
rnacentral:sRNA from 1 species